UAGGGAAUAUUGCAAAAUGGGCGAAAGCCCGAUGCAGCAACGCCGCGUGGGCGAUGAAGGCCUUCGGGUCGUAAAGCCCUUUUUGAGGGGAUGAGGAAGGACAGUACCCUCAGAAUAAGCCUCGGCUAACUACGUGCCAGCAGCCGCGGUAAAACGUAGGAGGCGAGCGUUAUCCGGAUUUACUGGGCGUAAAGCGCGUGCAGGCGGAUUGGAGAGUUGGAUGUGAAAGCUCCCGGCUUAACUGGGAGAGGUCGUUCAAUACUUCCAGUCUUGGGUGCAGUAGAGGGAAGUGGAAUUCCGGGUGUAGUGGUGAAAUGCGUAGAUAUCCGGAGGAACACCAGUGGCGAAAGCGGCUUCCUGGACUGUAACUGACGCUCAGACGCGAAAGCUAGGGUAGCAAAC
rnacentral:rRNA from 1 species